AUUGAACGCUGGCGGCAGGCUUAACACAUGCAAGUCGAACGAGUGGCGGACGGGUGAGUAAUGUUUGGGAAUCUAGCUUAUGGAGGGGGAUAACUACGGGAAACGGUAGCUAAUACCGCGUACUAUAGGAUGAGCCCAUGUGGGAUUAGGUAGUUGGUGGGGUAAAGGCUCACCAAGACGACGAUCUCUAGCUGGUCUGAGAGGAUGACCAGCCACACUGGGACUGAGACACGGCCCAGACUCCUACGGGAGGCAGCAGUGGGGAAUAUUGCGCAAUGGGCGCAACCCUGAUGCAGCCAUGCCGCGUGAAUGAAGAAGGCCUUCGGGUUGUAAAGUUCUUUCGGUAGCGAGGCGUUACCUGCAGAAGAAGCAACGGCUAACUCCGUGCCAGCAGCCGCGGUAAUUC
rnacentral:rRNA from 1 species